AAAGACGUUAGCGUGCUGCCCAACUUUCACCACACUCAGAUUUAUAAUUAUACGGUUCUUGGAGUGAGUGCAUACACUCAUGAAGUUUUAGUAACUUCAGGUCACUGCAACAAGCCCAGGUACAGUUUACCGACGGAUGGGUUCAGGACCUUGAAAUGCACCGUGUAGAACGAAAGACCAUCGUACAAACAAAGAACUAUAGACCUGCCAAGGCCUGGCUGUUUGGCAAGCAGAGGUUGGACCCAAACACAGGACUCCUGAGGCGAAACAUGAACAGAUCGAUUGCUGAGAACUACAAACUAAAAGUACCAAACAAUAAACACUUGGCAUGGUAACUAAGAUGCAAAACAUGAAGCACACAGCAUGGGGAGAAACAUGACGGGAGGACAUCAAGACUGACGACAUGAUGAAGAACAUAAAUACAGAGGAUAACAAGAGGAUGGGCAACAGGUUUAAACACAGCUGGAGCAAAUCUGACUAACCGAACAACGGAAGCAAAACUGAACAUAACACACAUCAGACAAGGUAGCUUCAAAAUUAAUCAGGAAGUGACACGCACCGUGAGACCCAGACAAAGAGAACUUAACAAUAGGAGAGGGAACAAGCAGACAGGUAACACGUGACAGUCUGGGGUGAUGAGAUGAAACACAAUUAGAGCAACACGGGAACAAGUAAGGGAGACGAAAUACAUAGACACCACUAAGAGGGCGAGGAAGAAAGAUACAGAGAGAGACACAGAGGGCGAGAGAGACUGAGGAGUGUGUUAAAGACAGAACACAGAGACGAAGACUAUAAUAGAUAGGACAUGACAACAAGACCGACAAACACAGGAAACCCUGAGGACAACACACAAGGAAGGAAAACACUAAGGGAAAUAGAACCAAAAGGGAUAAACAAUCAGAAAAACGGAUACGGUUAAGAAAAACUAAACUAUGAAAAAUGAGUCACUCUAGAAAUGCCAUAACGUUUAAUCAAGAAGUCCACAAACACAAAGCACUGGAUCAAUGACCCAGGACUGUGACAAGACUGAAAUUUAACCAUAUCUGUUGCUCAGGUAAAGGGUCGCACAUUGUGUUCAGUGUCUGAAAGAGAUGAUUUUUGGGGUGUUACACCGUUACAAAAUCUAAUUAAAGACUCUAAAUAAAA
ensembl:lncRNA